rfam:Bombyx mori DNA, contig: Bm_scaf1_contig69, strain: p50T/Dazao, build 2, whole genome shotgun sequence.
UUAAAUCAAAUUUGUAUGUAGUUGCAGCGUUCGCCUGUUUGCCGCUAGGGGCACUGUUUCAACUGCAUACAAAUUUGGGUUA